rnacentral:tRNA from 1 species
UUUAUACCCUUCCCAUACUA